UGGAGUAUAGCUCAGUGGUAGAGCACUUGCCUAGUAUGUGCAAGGCCUUGGUGUUCAAUUCUCUAUACUGCAA
rnacentral:tRNA from 1 species